GGUGAUGAUUAUCCUAUUCUCACUGGAAAAUCCAUUACUACUAUGUCUUUAAGUUCUUGUACUACUCAGGGGAAGCCAAAGUAUAUAUCAUGGAAUGAUGAAUUGUUUGAGUCCACAAUGCAGAUAUAUAAAAUCUCUUUUAGGAACAGGUGACAAAAAUGAGGAAAAGGAAAAAGAGAUGAAGUAGGAAUAUAUCGGGACAAUUGAUUGGAUUAAGAAACGAUUGGGAGACAAAGUUGCAAGUGUGCAGAUUUCAAACCAAUUGAGCUCUUUGUCUUGUGUCCUGGUGUCGGAAAAUUUUGGUUGGUCUGCAAGUUUGGAAAGGCUAAUGAAGUCACAAACUAUGGAUGAUGCCACUAGCUUGGAAAUCAUGAGAAGCAAAAGGGUGUUUGAGAUCAACCCUGAACAUCCAAUUAACAAGAACUUGGAUGUGUGAAUCUAUUUUUGUCACGUGUCCUAAGUCUAAUGAUAUAAUUAUUCCUAUAAAUUAAAUUGUCAGUGCUACAUCACACUAUGGUUUUGUUAAGAUAAGUUGCACCCACACAUGUGAUGGUAUAUAUUUGCUAUCAAAGAAAAAAGUGGUGCAAAAUUGGAACACAUGCUAUUAGGUUUUAGCAGUUUUUCAAAUCAAAACAGACCCAAGAAUUUCUUGUUUUCUCGAUGGCCAGGAUUUAGACCCAAGAUCAUGUUGUCAAGUUUAUCGGUCUUUUUCUUUUUUUUCUUUCUCUAGAUCUGUGAAACUUUUCCAGUACAAUUGUUUUUACGUUAUAUACCAUUUAUAACUCAUAAAGCCUAUCAAUUGUGCUUAAGUGAGCCUGGUUUAUUGGUUAAUGUGACAUGCUUUCAUUCUAA